rnacentral:lncRNA from 1 species
CUUACUUGGAGUAGGGAGAUCAAGAUAGAGUUAUGUUUUCUUCCUGACGAGGUCACUUGGGUAUUACAUGAAGAAUGGAAGUUUUGGCUCCUCCAGUGUAAUAGUUUUUGCUUGGUUGAUUUUAGGUAAACUUUUAACUAGGUCGUUAGGGAUAUGAAUGCUACUACUUGUGUUUGUGCUCUUGGAAUCAAGAAUUGGAACAACAUUUAUUCUUUGUGCGAAGUUUGGAUUAAUAUUUUGUAUAAAGUGUGCAAAUAACUUGGAGUUUUUAUGGUUACCCCCAAGAGAUUUAGAAACUUUGUUUCUGGUAAAUUAACUAGACUAGCCAGGACGAAACAAAAAGGGGUGAAGGUUCUAGACUUAAUUUGACAAUCAAUGAUUUAGGAAAUUUGAGCCACAAAAAAAUUGAAGAGUUCUUUCAGACUCGGUCAUGAAGGUUCCUAGCAUGAUUGAACUUAUUAAAACAGUCUUAAAAUGAUUUCUGACAAAGACAAUGGGACACUGUCUUUUCUAUAAGUGGUGUGUUAAUCUGGACUCGAGGGUUCUUUUAUGUAUUUUUUAUUCUUUUUUUUUUUUAAGGAUGUAUUUUUUAUUCUCUAUUUUCUUGUUUCUUUAUCUUGUAUGUAGGUCUAGUACCCUUUAUAUUCUCUUCUAAUUGGAAUUUUGCUUUGUUGUU